CCUCCGACACAUCUUCAAGUGAAAAUGCUCCACAAAAUAUAAAAAAGAAAUGAAUCGAAAGGAAAAAAAGUGGAGGAACGUGGGGCAAAAAUAGAUCUUUUAGCAAAGAAACUUUCCGAAAUAAAUCAAAGUAAAGCAAAUGUUUCCAGUGUAUCAGAACAAAAAUCUCCUGCUUCAAGGUCGACUGUGAGAAAAAAUGAGAACAAAAAGAUAAACAAAUACAAUGCUUCUGACC